UUUAUUACAUUAUUGGAUCAACCCAUCAAAUAAAAUGAGUUUAUGGGUUGACUCAACUCAUUUGGCUAAAUGGGUUGAGUCAACCUAUGAACUCAUUUAAUUCUAACUUUAUUGGGUAAUGAGU